ACUCCUACGGGAGGCAGCAGUGGGGAAUAUUGCACAAUGGGCGAAAGCCUGAUGCAGCAACGCCGCGUGCGGGAUGACGGCCUUCGGGUUGUAAACCGCUUUCAGCAGGGACGAAGGUUUUCUGACGGUACCUGCAGAAGAAGCACCGGCUAACUACGUGCCAGCAGCCGCGGUAAU
rnacentral:rRNA from 1 species